CCAGCUCCCAUAUUCUAGUGCUUCCUCCUGGAGCUUCGGUGUUUCCUUUACAGAGGAGCCUCCCUAUCCCACUAUGAAAAACCCCUUUCAAUACAGAACAAAGAACAUGGAGCUCUGAGGCUAAACUGGUAUCAGCUCUCAAGGGCAAGAAACUAUUUUUCAAACCAUCCUGAUUAAGGGAAUGGAAAGGAAAGCCUAGACCACUGGAACUUCUCUCACUCGUGUCUGCAAGGCCUGAGGUAAAGAGACACUCUGGUACUUACUGUGCUGCAGGACUGGAUCUUAACUCUUUCUUCUAGACCUAAUUGUGUGCCCCCACCUCACUGAGAAUUUCUCCACUAGUGACUCUGCAACUUAUUUGUUCAUCUUGUUCUCACCUUGUCCUUUGGAUUGGAAGUGCAUCAGUUUUCUUCUGAUUUAUGACUUGGCAUCUCCAGACUCCCCCAUACUACUGAUUUCUUCAAUGACCAACUCAAGAAAUACUCUCCCAAGUUCAAUUAGGAAGGGAAAUGAUGCUCCCACCAGACUUGUUCCAAGCAUGAGCUGGAUCUCAGAUACCCUGUUUUCUAAAAGUAAAUUAAUUUUGCUAAUUAAAUGUUGAAUUGUGGGAGCUGGUGGGAUGGAUAGAAUCAGAAACCAAUCUAGAUGUGGGCUUAGUGCUGAAUGCUUUAGAUAAAUCAAAGUCUUUGUAGAAUCACAAUAUACAUUGAUAGAAAACCUGUAACUGAUAUUUGCAGCUAGUACAUUAAUAUUUGCAGUUGUUAGGCUCUUUAAAUAAUUUUUAUAACUAAGAUAAAUUGACUAUAACUGUGAACAACAUAACUUUCCUUAAAGAUUCUCUAGCAGAAGGAGCAAGAAUCUUUAAGGUAGAGAAAAAAGUAUGAGUAUUAAGACUGGGUUCACCUAAGCAGAGUGAGUCAGGAAUCUACGACAAUCUGUUAUCAGUCAGAAUUACAUCUGGCUGCAAGUAUCAGAGGCACAAAAUAACAGUGGCUUUACCAAAACGAACCUUUCUUUUUCUUUCAUGUAAAAGUCUAGAAAUAGGUAGUCUUUAAAGUCAUCAAGGAGUCAGGCUCCUAUUGUCUUUACAGUAUUUAGUGUUCCAUCUCAAGGUUCAAAGUGGUCACUGAAGUUUCAGUUGUCACAUUUGCCUUCCAGACAAGAAAAAGUAUAUUAUAUAUGUACUUUUGCUUAUAUCACAUUAGAUAAUACUUAAUCAUAUGGACAUACCCAACUGAUAGAGAAGCUGGAAAUGUCUUCAUAUCAGGUUGCUAUGUGUCCAGCUAAAAAUCAGUAGUAGUAGAAGAAGGAAGGAGUAGAUGUUAAGGAAUAGACAAAUAUGGUGUAACUGGGGACUACUGGGCAAAUUACCCAUGAGCACUGCAUGCAAACAAGUCCCUCAAAAUCUGUCUUCCAACAUUAUAUAAAUAAUCUGAAGUAUGCAUUAUAUCAUUUUUAGAACAUUUUUGUAAUAAAACCAAAAGCACAACUCUCUAGAAUCAAAUUGCAAGUUAUUACUCUUUUUAUUUUAAUUUUUUUUCCUGUGGUACUGAGGACUGAAUCAGAGGUGCUUUGCCAUCAAACUAUACUCACAGCCCUUUUAUUUUUUUAUAUUGAGAGAGGGUUUUCCUAAAUUGCCCAGGCUGGCCUCAAUUAUGUGAUCCUUCUGCCUCAGCCUCCCCAGUAGCUGGGAUUGCAGAUGUGUGCUGCUGUGCAUGGCUACCAGUUAUUACUCUUAAUGUGGGAGUUGAGAAUGAAGAAGAGUGAGAGAAUGCUGGAAAUAAAGGACCUCAGAGAAGUAGGCAUGAACGGACCUUGGAAGUGUAACAGCAUCCUGUCACAGUUUGAGGAAUGAGUUUGAUCAUUGUCAGUGAAGUUACUCUGAAUUGCAGAUUUGGGACUUGUAUUUUGUUCUGAUUCUCCUAAACAACAUUUCUGUACUUGGGUUCACAAAUCAGGGGAACUGAAAUUUCAACUCAAAAGCAUAACAUUUUUUUUUUCUAAAGGAGUAUUUUUCUCCUCCAAAAUAAGGCAGUUUCAAUCCUUUCUUGCCAUUUCCUGCAGCAAUAAUAUAUUUACCCAGUGGUGCUCUAAGUUAACCUAAUACGCUUAACUGGCUAUUAAGGAGUGAUUUAUGUACCUCGAAAAAUAGUCUGCUGGUCGGUGUGAAAAAAAUCCAAAAGAACUUUGCCUGUGAACCACCAGAUGACUCUUCAUCAUAUGCUGGCCUCACUAUUCCCUCUGAAGGACCAUGACACCUGAACCCCUUGAAGGUGGAACUCUAUUUCAUGGUAUCCCAAGUGCCCAGCCUGUUGUUUCUCAUAAAAUUGGCUCUCAAAACUAUUUGUUGAAAUCUCAAGAUGGUGCAUCAGAGAUAAAAACAACAACAACAAAACACAUAACAAAAAUUAAUAGCAUAGCUUAGGGUUAGUUCUAGAUCAUUUCUAAUAGCUCUAAGAGAAAAGAAAGUUCAGAGUAAGGUAGUGCUGAGAAGGCUUUUAAGUUUUUAUACAAGAAGUGAUGAGGGGUAAAUAUUUACUGUAUUUGACAACUGUUCUUCAGUGUGAAAAAUCCACAGGUGUAAACCACAACGAAGCAAAGAAAACCUCAUCUAUCGGAGCCUAAGCAUUUUACCAGGCUGGACUGUAGGACACAUGAUUAUUCCUUUUGCUGCUUCUGUUUGCCAGUUCUGCCCAUUUGCCAAAAUAAAGACGUUCUUUCUCAGGUCAAACCUCAGCUGUGAGAGUAAACUAAUGACUUCAGAAUGGGAGACAGAUGCUUCCUGCAGGAGGAUUCCAGGGCAGACAAAGGAUAUGUAACCAGAACUAGUUACAGAAAAUGUGAGACCCAGUGCAAAAGGAAAACAUGGGGCCCCUUGUUUAAAAAUCAGGGGAAUGUUAUUAAAGUUUCUAAAACAUAAAGCUUUUUUCUCUCUUCCACAGUCAUUUUGUUGUUUUUGUUGUUGUUGUAUAAUGCUGAUCUAAGUAAAGAACAAUUAAAAAUUUAA